AAAUGCGAUAAGUAAUGUGAAUUGCCGAAUUCAGUGAAUCAUCGAAUCUUUGAACGCACAUUGCGCCCGCCAGUAUUCUGGCGGGCAUGCCUGUUCGAGCGUCAUUUCAACCAUCAAGCCCCCGGCUUGUGUUGGGGACCUGCGGCUGCCCGCAGGCCCUGAAAAACAGUGGCGGGCUCGCUGUCACACCGAGCGUAGUAGCAUACAUUCUCGCUCAGGGCGUGCUGCGGGUUCCGGCCGUUAAACGACCUUCAUAACCCAAGGUUGACCUCGGAUCAGGUAGGAAGACCCGCUGAACUUAAGC
rnacentral:misc_RNA from 1 species